rnacentral:rRNA from 1 species
AGAGUUUGAUCCUGGCUCAGAUUGAACGCUGGCGGCAGGCUUAACACAUGCAAGUCGAGCGGAGAUGAGGUGCUUGCACCUUAUCUUAGCGGCGGACGGGUGAGUAAUGCUUAGGAAUCUGCCUAUUAGUGGGGGACAACAUUCCGAAAGGAAUGCUAAUACCGCAUACGUCCUACGGGAGAAAGCAGGGGAUCUUCGGACCUUGCGCUAAUAGAUGAGCCUAAGUCGGAUUAGCUAGUUGGUGGGGUAAAGGCCUAUCAAGGCGACGAUCUGUAGCGGGUCUGAGAGGAUGAUCCGCCACACUGGGACUGAGACACGGCCCAGACUCCUACGGGAGGCAGCAGUGGGGAAUAUUGGACAAUGGGGGGAACCCUGAUCCAGCCAUGCCCCGUGUGUGAAGAAGGCCUUAUGGUUGUAAAGCACUUUAAGCGAGGAGGAGGCUACUGAGACUAAUACUCUUGGAUAGUGGACGUUACUCGCAGAAUAAGCACCGGCUAACUCUGUGCCAGCAGCCGCGGUAAUACAGAGGGUGCGAGCGUUAAUCGGAUUUACUGGGCGUAAAGCGUGCGUAGGCGGCUUUUUAAGUCGGAUGUGAAAUCCCCGAGCUUAACUUGGGAAUUGCAUUCGAUACUGGGAAGCUAGAGUAUGGGAGAGGAUGGUAGAAUUCCAGGUGUAGCGGUGAAAUGCGUAGAGAUCUGGAGGAAUACCGAUGGCGAAGGCAGCCAUCUGGCCUAAUACUGACGCUGAGGUACGAAAGCAUGGGGAGCAAACAGGAUUAGAU